CAUCAUGACAUCAUCAUGACGUCACUAUCAUCAGGAGCCAAUCGGAGCAGGCCUCUGUGGCCACACCCACUACAGCACAGGUGUCAAACUCCAUUCCUCAAGGGCCGGUGUUCUGCAACUUUUAGAUGUGCCUCUGCUGCACCACACCUGAAUAGAAUAAUUCAGUCAUUAGCAAGGCUCUGGAGACCUGAUCUACACAAGGAGAAGGUAAUUCAGCCUUUUCAUGCCAGUGUUUUGUACCUGAGGCACAUCUAAAACCUGCAGGACAGCGGCCCUUGAGGACUGGAGUUUGACACCCCUGCACUACAGCUUCAGACAGGGAGGUUACGUGACUGGAACCAGAACCUCCUGAGGAACCGGGUCACCUGGUUCUGAUUUGUUAAAACGUCCCAAACAGAACCUGAUCGGCUGGCCCAGUUCUGGUUCUGAGCCGACUCGGACAGAGGGAGCAGACCAGAACCAGUUAAUCCAAGCUGCGUCAGGACGUGUGCAGGUCACGUGACGCUCACCUUUAUAGAAGAGGCUGUAGGUGGAGCCGCUCAGGUUGGAGAAGACGGCCGCCACCUUCCGGCUCAGGUACUCGAAGCUGCAGGAAACCUCCUGGUCCACCGCGAACCGGCGGAUCUCCUUCACCUGCUCGUCCUUCCCCAGCAGGUAGGCCUUUACUGUCACCGACAUCCCGACCGGAACCGAACCGAACCGAGAGAGAGAAA